rnacentral:rRNA from 1 species
AGAGUUUGAUCAUGGCUCAGGACGAACGCUGGCGGCGUGCCUAACACAUGCAAGUCGAACGCGUCUGUGCUUCGGCACAGAUGAGUGGCGAACGGGUGAGUAACGCGUGAGUAACUCCCCUUGGGGAGGGGGAUAACCAUCUGAAAAGGUGGCUAAUACCCCAUAUUCUCUUUUCUCAUAAGAGGAAGGAGGAAAGGUGGCGCAAGCUGCCACCCCGAGAGAGGCUCGCGUCCCAUCAGCUAGUUGGUAGGGUAAUGGCCUACCAAGGCUAUGACGGGUAGCUGGUCUGAGAGGAUGGUCAGCCACACUGGGACUGAGACACGGCCCAGACUCCUACGGGAGGCAGCAGUGAGGAAUCUUGGGCAAUGGGCGAAAGCCUGACCCAGCGACGCCGCGUGGAGGAAGAAGGCCUUCGGGUCGUAAACUCCUGUUUGGGGAGAAGAACAAGAGAGAAGUUAAUAGCUUCUCUCUCUGACGGUAUCCCCGGAGAAAGCUCCGGCUAAUUACGUGCCAGCAGCCGCGGUAAUACGUAAGGAGCGAGCGUUGUCCGGAUUUACUGGGCGUAAAGGGCUCGUAGGUGGUUUCUUAGGUCUCACGUGAAAUUCCCUGGCUCAACCAGGGAGGGUCGUGGGAAACCGAGAGGCUAGAGGGCAGGAGAGGAGAGUGGAAUUCCCGGUGUAGCGGUGAAAUGCGUAGAGAUCGGGAGGAACACCAGUGGUGAAGACGGCUCUCUGGACUGUCCCUGACACUGAGGAGCGAAAGCCAGGGGAGCAAACCGGAUUAGAUACCCGGGUAGUCCUGGCCGUAAACGAUGGGUACUAGGUGUGGGGGGUUCGACCCCCUCCGUGCCGCAGUUAACGCAUUAAGUACCCCGCCUGGGGAGUACGGCCGCAAGGUUGAAACUCAAAUGAAUUGACGG